UACGGAGGGUGCGAGCGUUAAUCGGAAUUACUGGGCGUAAAGGGUUCGUAGGUGGAUAGAUAAGUCAGAUGUGAAAUCCCUGGGCUCAACCUAGGAAUUGCAUUUGAUACUGUUUAUCUAGAGUUCACUAGAGGAUUGGGGAAUUUCCGGUGUAGCGGUGAAAUGCGUAGAGAUCGGAAGGAACAUCAAUGGCGAAGGCAACAAUCUGGGGUUGAACUGACACUGAGGGACGAAAGCGUGGGGAGCGAACAGG
rnacentral:rRNA from 1 species